rnacentral:rRNA from 1 species
AUACGUAGGGUGCGAGCGUUGUCCGGAAUUACUGGGCGUAAAGAGCUCGUAGGUGGUUUGUCGCGUCGUCUGUGAAAUUCCGGGGCUUAACUCCGGGCGUGCAGGCGAUACGGGCAUAACUUGAGUACUGUAGGGGAGACUGGAAUUCCUGGUGUAGCGGUGAAAUGCGCAGAUAUCAGGAGGAACACCGGUGGCGAAGGCGGGUCUCUGGGCGUGAACUGACGCUGAGGAGCGAAAGCAUGGGUAGCGAACAGGAUUAGAUACCCUGGUAGUCCAUGCCGUAAACGGUGGGCGCUAGGUGUAGGGGUCUUCCACGACUUCUGUGCCGUAGCUAACGCAUUAAGCGCCCCGCCUGGGGAGUACGGCCGCAAGGCUAAAACUCAAAUGAAUUGACGGGG